rnacentral:pre_miRNA from 1 species
AACUAAAACAAAGGCCUAGACCCUGACCACCUUUCUUUUCUUGGAAAACUUAUAGAGUUAAGCUUUUGAAGAAUUGCAGGUGGUAGGGGGUCUACGCUGAUUG